UACGAAGGGGGCUAGCGUUGUUCGGAUUUACUGGGCGUAAAGCGCACGUAGGCGGAUCGUUAAGUCGGGGGUGAAAUCCUGGAGCUCAACUCCAGAACUGCCUUCGAUACUGGCGAUCUUGAGUCCGGAAGAGGUGAGUGGAACUCCUAGUGUAGAGGUGAAAUUCGUAGAUAUUAGGAAGAACACCAGUGGCGAAGGCGGCUCACUGGCCCGGUACUGACGCUGAGGCGCGAAAGCGUGGGGAGCAAACAGG
rnacentral:rRNA from 1 species